rnacentral:lncRNA from 1 species
AUCAUUUAUGUAUACUAGGGAUUCCCUUGCAUGAGUACAAGGUCCCCUUAGCUUAAUCUAGGCUUAAUACCCUAUUAUGGCAUGAAAUUCCCUAUUUUCCACCCGGAUGAACAGUAACCCGGACCGACAGCCGGUUACUUCAUCCCGGGUUUGAUCCACUUUUCAGACUCCAAAUUUGAUGAAAUUUUUACCUAACAUUCUACACUCAUAGGGGAUUCC